rnacentral:tRNA from 1 species
GGGAUAUUAACUCAGUUGGUUUAGAGUGUUACCUUGACAGGGUAGAAGUCACUGGUUCGAAUCCAGUAUAUCCCA